CGCACAUGCCCGAACCACCUCAGCUUCGCUUCUCGCAUCUUCUCAUCCACCGGGACCACCCCCACCUUAUCUCGAAUAACUUCAUUCUUAAUAUUAUCUAACCUGGUGUGCCAGCACAUCCACCUGAGCAUCCUCAUCUCCGCAACCUUCAUUCUCUGAACAUGAGAGUUCUUCACGGGCCAGCACUCCGCCCCAUGCAACAUCGCAGGUCUAACCACGGCUCUAUAGAAUUGCCCCUUGAGUUUAUGUGGAACUCUCUUGUCACACAGAACUCCUAAUGCAAGCCUCCACUUUGACCACCCCACUCCUAUACGAUGA
rnacentral:lncRNA from 1 species